rnacentral:lncRNA from 1 species
UGCUAACAUUUCUCUGCAAUAAAAACUCAAAGUAGUUAUAUCCUGGAUGUAAUGACUACAUUUAUAUAAACAUGUUUGCUUUAUUAUGGGAAGAUUGGAGGAUGUUGGAUUACAACAAUGGCAUUGAAGGAAUAAUCCUAAAUCACUGGAAUGAGGAGAAUUUCAAUUCAGGCACCUAAAGAACUAUAACAACAAUCAGUUUUCACCUCACAAGGUUUGUUGCCUUGGCUUGUUACAAAUGAUGAUAAGAGACAGUUUCAACCUAUCAUCAUCCCAUGUUCCAGGUCAAAGCAAAGUUUUCACCAAGAGGGAUGUUCAAGUUUUUCAAUGCUACCAUCCCGGUCUUACUUUCUCCAUUUGCCUGACCAUCCAAGUGCUUAUGUUCAGAUGUACUAACUUUCACAUCAGAGACAGGCAUUCCAUUUAUCUCAAGUGCAUGCACUGCUCCACUUCCUCCCAAUCCCAACACAGAUAUAGAUUCAAUAACCCAACCUUGAUCCAAUGCAAACUUACCCUCUUGAACUUCUGACCAAACUCUCACACCACCUUGUUUGACAGCUGCAUGGAGAUCAAUGUAGGUGGAAUAGCCAUUUCCAAGCUUCAUCUCUGGUAGUUCAUCGUCAUCAAGGAAGAGGUUCCCUUUCGCUUCCCCUUCAGCAGCCCCAGAUGGGAAGGUUACGAUGAGGCUGAAGGGUGUCAUUCGAGCAUCCUUAGAUAUCAAUCCACCCUGCUGCAUUGGAAGAAUGGUAUUCUGAUAUAAAUGCACAUUCACCACAUGCAGAGGAGCAUCAAGGGUAACAUAUGUUCCAUCAUUUGAUGUAAUGGUCUGUGUCCAAUCCAGCAAGCUGUACCAGCUACCAGGAGGGAAGAGUGCUUUCACCUCUGUUUUGCCGGGCUCAAGCACUGGAGAAAUCAUGAGACUGCUUCCUAGCAAGAACUGGGUGCUAAGGCCAUAGCACUCAGUGUAUGUUGGAAAUGAGAAGAAAAGAGGUCUUGCAAUUGGGGCUCCACUGACAUGAGCCUCGUAGUUCAGAGUGUAAAGAUAUGGAAGUAUCUUGUACCUCAUACCCAAAGCAUUUCUAGCAGACUCAGCUACUGAUUUCCAUAGGUAAAGCUCCUGUCUAGGGGUGUAGUAGUCAGAAUGAUCCCUUGAGAAAGGGUAGAAAGCCCCUACUUCAAUCCAUCUGCUGCACAGUUCUUCAGUGGGUUGUGCAAAGAACCCGCAUAUGUCUGAGCCAAUCAUUGGGACCCCAAAUAUACCAAAAUUUAUCAUGGUGGAUAUUGAGUACCUCAAGUUCUCCCAUGUAGCCUGAUUGUCACCGGACCAAUGUGCAGCAUAUUUGCCUGAACCGACAUAAGUUGAGCGCGACAGAAUAAAAGGCCUUUUGCCUUCAAGACCUAGAAGGGCCUUGUGAGUUGCAAUGGAUUGAGAGAAACCAUAAAUACUGUGAGCAUCAUACUCCAAAAUCCCAUUAUAGUGGACUGCACUAGUGGCUAUUGUCUUGUGGCCAAUAGGAGCUUGUAUUCCUGAGGCAUUUAUUUUGUAGGGAGGAUCGUCCCAUCGGGUUUUGUUAAUGUUCUCGCACUCCAAACAACAAACCACAGAAGGUCCUGUUUCACUAGGGCACACCUUUCCCUUAGGAAUUUUGCACUUUCCAGAGCAGAAAUUUGAAACUUCAUUCAUGUCAAUCCAUAGGCCAUCAAUAGGAACAAGUUCAUGGAAGCGACGUAUUUCGUCACCCCACCAAGAAACCGUCUUUGGAUUGAGAAAAUCAGGAAAGUUCACUGGCCCUGGCCAAACUUGAGCCAAGUAAGGCUCACCUUCAUACUUGAUAAAUACAUCAUUAGCUAUACCUCUUUGGUAUACACUAUAACUGGAGUUUACACCAAUACCAGGGUCAAUAAUGACAAUGUAUUUCAUUCCUACCCUGUGUAUCUUGUUGAGGAAGUUUAAAAGCUCUGGACGAGGGUAGUUGCUUGGGUUGAGAGUGAAGUCCUUGUAUCCAUCCAUGUGAUCAGCAUCGUUCCAGAUCACGUCAAGUGGGAUUUGAGCCUUCUUGUAAUUCUCCACAACAUCUUCUACCACUGAUAAGUUGUGAUACCCGUAUCUGCAUUGGUGGAAACCUAUAAUCCCACAUAAGUGAGAGUAUCAGUUAAAGUACUUUUAGAAAAGUUUCAAGUACCUUAAUCAACUAGAUCUUGAAGCAUAAGGAUCUAAAGCUGCCUGUCUUUAUGUUUAAUUGACAAGUGAGUAGUAACAUGUAAAUAAAUAGCAAAAUAGCGCCUGUCAUUAUAAAAUUAGGCUUCAAAAGAAAAUUCUAGGAUGGACUUGCAAGAUACAAGACAAAAUCUUUCAUGAAUUUUCACCCAAUUCAUAAACUCUAUAAGUACAAAGUGUGUAUUAAAAACUGACCUUUGAUAGCAUUUCUAUUCUAAUUUUUAUUCCCCCCUUCAUGUUCUAACAAACAUCUGAUUGGUUAAAUCUCUUUCCUAAUUUACUUGGUAAGUAUGCUUGGUACAAAAAAAAUGGUACUCACUCACACACACACACACACACAAAGCAUGAAGCCAUGAUUAGUUCAUAGGGAAAAAAUCCAACUUAAAUAGUAUCCUCCCUUUGGUCAGUUAGAAUGUAGCAGCUAUAAUAUGUUUGUUGUUGGAUUUUUGAUGGGAUCAUGCUUCCUUGCAAAUUCGCUGGGGAGGGGGAAACUUUUUCUGUGUUUCUUUCUUUUUUUCAUGAGACCUUGCUGUGUAUAUGGGUUGAAGCACCCCUUGUGCUUCCUUUACUUUAAUAUUAUGUUUGGCUUUUAAAAAAUAAAAACAUCCCUCCCCUUGACCCAAUGCUUAACCUUAUUCCCUACAUGAUAGCAAUAUUGAGCAGACUUUUCCCAACAGAGCUCACAAUACCUUUAGGGUCAGUUUGGCAUGGGGGUAAAUCUGAAGAUGAAAAGCCCGUGGAUCAGUUUUAUUUUUCAAAAGAUGAUUUUUGUAUAGGGUAAAGUUAAAUUUCACACUUUUGUUGUGACAUUCCUAACCACGUCUGUCUAAGAGGUAUUAAAGAACUCAAGAAAGUUAGACUGUAAAAACUUAUGUCAGGAUUCAAAUCAUACAAAGUUACAAACAUUGACAGAGUGUAAAAUAAUGCAGACCUAACUAGAAAAAUCUCAGAACAUCCACAUCAUACAUUGUACAGAUAAGCUAAAGCACAAAAAAUGCACUAUGCAUAACAAGAAAACACCCUCAGAAUCAUGCAUCAAGAAAGUCACAGAAUUCACCUAAUCACAGAUCUGAAAAACACUCCGUUUGGUUUUAAAAAAUGGUAUAUGUUUACAUUAAUAAUUACAAAAAUACCACUUUGCAAUAGGAUCCAGAAUGAGUUAUACUUAUACUUCUCAAUUAUUAGUGAAAAUAGAAAAAUGAAAACAUUUCCUCCAACUUAACUAAGGCAAUGAUAUUUUAUCAAUUAAGUGUUUGCAUAUGGUAAACACCAUUUUUCACAGUUGAAAAUUGUGCAAUCUAUAAUAUCUAUCAAAAAAAUGGCAAUGACACCCAAAUCAGCAAAAUUGAAUAUGAGAGUAAUAAGUGAAUCAUACCGAAAGCCCAGUAAGGCAUUGGAGCUGGUCUUCCAAUUAAGGAAGUGUAUUGAUCAACAACAUUCAAAGGCGAAGGGCCAGAAAAGAAGUAAAAAUCAAAUACACCUCCAAUAAUCUUGUAUGUCAGAGAGGUUCCCGUGUAAAGUACAUCCAUUCCGUUGCUAUUGAGCAGCAGAACAGCAUGUGCAGAAGCUUUACCACCUGCAUUUCUGAGAUCCAUGUAUAUAGGGUGCGAUCCAUACAGAUCAGCAUUGAGAUUAAUAGCUGGAAUAUCAGUUGUAUACAGAGUGAAAGGGUCUUGGGGAUACAAUUUGAUCCCGUGCGGCUGUGUAUGCUCCCCCAAACCAUACAAGGAAGCAUCUUCAGGCAAUUUGGUAGAAAUCUCAAGGUACUGGUCCUUGAAAACCAGGGAACUAAAAGGGUCUGAAUCACCAGAGCUAGAGUCAAAAAGGGUCUCACCAUUUGACUUCCUUUUUACCGCAAAGCUAAAAGGGUCAGAAGUGUAGCUGAACAGAAGCUCAGAACCAGAGUACUCUGAGACUGCAAUAGGGUUCUUCCUGAACCUUCCAAUGGUUUGAGACAGAGCUGGCGGUUGCUCUCUUGGUAAAAGGUUGUAGGGGACCUCCCACCUUUGCUUAUUAGCAUCAGUUAUGUGUACCCUCAAACGGUUCUCUGUCUCAUGCCUGCAAAAUUAAGUCCAAUGAAGAAGGAUAACCAUUGAAAAAAAAAAAAACUUCUUUAUAUUGAUACACAAAAAAGAAGAGAAGAAUACUAAUGGAAGAUUUUGAAAGGGGAAAUGUACUUGGCGUAGAAGCGUAGAAGGUGGAUAUCAGGGCCAUAGAUAUUGGUCUUCUGGUUAACUUGAAGAAGACCCACGAGGCCUCCAUCAGGGGUUCCUUCAAUGGAGAUAAGACGGUAGCCUUGGCCUAUUUUGGUGGCAUUUUCUGAAGAAAAAGAACUCACCCCAGCUGCACAUAGAAGCAGAGUUACAAGAAGAGAAGAGAGGCACAGCGCAGAUAAACGGUGAUGAAAAACCAUAGCUAAUGCACUGAGGACGAACACUGAGGGUAGCAAUGGCAUAUAUAAAUAAUUAACCGCAUAGAUGACAACACUACGUCGCUUACCAAAUUACUCUCUUGCCCAUGUAUGAAGUAAAUGCUUGUAUGAAUAAUCAACCUCAUAUUCUAUAUGAACAUAAAGACAAAAGUGCAAAUAUAGAUAAAAACAUGCACUAUUCUAUGAAUGUAGUGAAGUGCAGAUGAAAAAUUCAAAAGCAUAGCCAAUCUCCUAUCUCCUAUUUCAUAAGUGUAAACUUUCCUUUUGCCAAACCAGUAUAAAGUCAGAUUUUAUAAAUAUAGAAACCAGAUUAUUUUUUCAUAUAACAAACGAAAAUUGAUUCUAUAGGAUCCUAAUACAUUUAAUCAACCACAUCUUCUAUGCGAACAUAAAAGGUAAAGUGCAAAUAUAGAUAAAAAAUAAUGCACUAGUCUAUGAAUGUAGUGAACAGCAGAUAAAAAAUUAGAAAAGCAUAGCCAAUCUCCUAUCUCCUAUUUCACAAGCAUAAAUUUUCCUUUUGCCAAACUAGUAUAAGAAGCAGAUUUUGUUAAAUUGAAACCAGAUUAUUUUUUCAUAUAACAAACAAAAAAUUGUACUCAUGCAUUUAAUUACUAGUCUAUUAAGCAGCAGACAUAUAAAGAUAAAAAAGUCUAAAACAAAUUAACAAUCCUCCAACAAACAUAUAGCAGUGCAGUUGUAAAUAGAGAAUCUUUCCAGGUAAAAGGAGUGUCUUCUUACCUGCUGUUUAGUCCUUGCAACGACACACACACCUCUGCAGCAAAAAUGCGAAAAAUAAGACGAGGAUAACAUAGGUCCCAAAAAUCUAAGAUUUGAUGAGAUUGAGGUCCGAGCAGCCAUGUCGAAGUUGAGAGGAAGAAAACCAUGCUUGCGAUUGGGAUUGGAAACAGAGAGGAAAACAAGAGCAGAGAGAUGGGAAAGAAACAGAGACUAAUGAUAAAUAAAUAAUUUUAACCAUAGUGAUUACGGAAAAGAGCAUCUCUAAUAGUAGGAACUUAUUUUGGGAUUUUACUCAUUUUUUGUGGGCCCAGAUUGCCACAUAGGAUUUAAGACACUCAUAAGGUCUCUAUGCACAUUUCACUCUAGUGGUUGAGAUCUUAUUUUACUUUUGACCGGGCCCACAAUACCUAAUAUAUUUAUAUUAUUUAUUUCCCUCCUUAUUUUUCACUUUGGUUAUGGUAUUGGAGGAGAGAGAAAAAAAUAUUAUUUUAUUUAAGAUCCCACAUUUGAGAGUACAUGAGCUAAGGCACGGAUCUUAGCUUUUGCUAAGAUCUCAUGCCAUGUAGGAUAGCUCCAAUGGUGGGAUCUAAUAAGAUCCGGAUCUUAUUUUAAGAUCUCAAAAUAAGGACUUCAUUGGAGAUGCUCUAAGAAAUGGUAGAGUCUGGCCAGGGUACUAUAGUAUCCAUCUUGUAUCCGCAUUUUCAAAAGAUAUCUACACCCAUACCCACUAUUUUUUGCGGUAAUUACUCAUAUUUAAUCUCAUACUCAUCUAGCGGAUUUUUACCCUACUCAUUGUGGAUAUUUUUAGUGGGUACCCAAUGGAUCCGAGACCCAUUGUCAUGAUACCCAAACUUGACCUCACACGUACUUCUGAAAAUGGGAAGGUUUUGUACCCUCAAGUUCAUUAUUUAGACAAUUAAGGACAAAGUUGCAAAUUUUAAAAAAAUUAUUGCAAAUAAGACCAUGACGAAUCAAAGCAAAAUGUAUGAAACUCAUCUAUUUUGAAAGAUACUAAAGAAAUUACCAAAAUUUAUCAAAAUUUAAUUUUUAACAUGUUUGGAUUAGUUUUUUCUCAAUUAAUUGUACAAAAAUUUGUAUGGCUAUUUGUAGAGAAAUUUAUGCUCUUUGAAGUUAGAACCUACAUAUUUACCUUUUUGUGAGGGAUUGGUUGCAGAGGGACUGGACAGUUAACUCAUUUGCCACGAGAGAGGAAUAAUACCGCUGAUUACCUUGCUAGAAAGGCUUCACACGAAGGGACGCCAAACCAAAUAUAGGGAAGACCACCUUCUGCUGUUUACGAGUUACUGUAUUUAGACCAUAGUGUGUAGUCUUUUUCUUGUCGUUUAAUUUUCCUCAUGUAACCAAAAAAAAAUUAUUUGCAAAAAGCAUUGGUUUUUAGGGGGGAAAGAUCUCUUAGCUAAGAUGAACUUAAGCAAUAAUAUAAACAAAAAUUUGUCUUUGACAGUAUAUUUUGUCUAUGUUUAAUCUUUUAUGGAGUGUGAGUAUCCGAUGCAUGUGAUCGUGUGGGGAAUCAAGGCAAUUUCUCAUGGUCAGUAGGACACAUGGUCCCUUUUUCCGAAUGGAUUAGUAUCCUUCUUUUGGUUGUGUGGACCUUUCAGUACUUGAUUUUACUCGCGGUUGCUUUCAAGAAAUCAGAAAGAAAAGAAGCAUUUUUCAUGCAUAUCCUAUCAAUGUAGUGAUGCGAGGGACAAGUUAACUUGCAAUGCCAUGUGAUUAACGUCAAGCAUGUUUAGUAAUAUUCUCAAUCUAAACUAUAUCAACGUCUUUGUAGAUGAAAUUUCUGACAAAAAACAAGACAAUGUUGCUAACAUUUCUCUAUAUAUAAAUUCAAAGUAGUUACAUCCAGGAUGUAAUGACUAGAUUUAUAUACUAAAUAUGUUUGCUUUAUUAUUGGGAAGAUUGGAGGAUGUAGGAUUACAACAGUUGUAUGGAAGGAAUAAUCCUAAAUCACUGGAAUGACAAGAAGUUUCAGUUCAGGCACCUAAAGACUACAACAACUUUCAGAUUUCACCUCACAAGGCUUGUUGCCUUGGCUUGCUAAAAUGAAAAAGGACGAGCAUAACAUAAUUCUAGCUCAUCUCUCUCCCUCACAACUGCUACAAGAAUUGUAGAAAACAAAAAGGACACAAGAAAGUUACAAAUUCAUGAUAGAGACAAUCUCAACCUAUCAUCAUCCCAUGCUCCAGGUCAUUGCAAAGUUUUUCCCUAGAGGGAUGUUCAAGCCUUUCAGCGCUACCAUCACGGUCUUACUUUCUCCAUUUGCCUGACCAUCCAAGUGCUUAUGUUCAGAUGUACUAAUUUUCACAUCAGAGAUACCCAUUAUUGGCAUUCCAUUUAUCUCAAGUGCAGACACUGCUCCACUUCCAGCCAACCCCAACACAGAUAUGGAUUCAAUAACCCAACCUUUACCCAAUGCAAACUUACCCUCUUGAACAUCUGACCAAACUUUCACACCACCUUGUUUGACAGUUGCAUAGAGAUCAAUGUAGGUAGAAUAGCCAUUUCCAAGCUUCAUCUCUGGUAGUUCAUCUUCAUCAAGGAAAAGAUUCCCUUUCGCUUCCCCUUCGGCUGCCCCAGAUGGGAAAGUUACGAUGAGGCUGAAGGGUGUCAUUCUAGCAUCCUUAGAUAUCAAUCCACCCUGUUGCAUUGGAAGAAUGGUAUUCUGAUAUAAAUGCACAUUCACCACGUGCAGAGGAGCAUCAAGAGUAACAUAGAUUCCAUCCUUUGAUGUAAUAGCAUGGGUCCAAUCAAGCAAGCUGUACCAGCUACCAGGAGGGAAGAGUGCUUUCACCUGUGUUUUUCCCUGCUCAAGCACUGGAGAAAUCAUGAGACUGCUUCCCAGCAAGAACUGGGUGCUAAGGCCAUAGCAUUCAGUGUAUGUUGGAAACGAGAAGAAAAGAGGUCUUGCAAUUGGGGCUCCACUAACAUGAGCCUCAUAGCUCAAGGUGUAAAGAUAUGGGAGUAUCUUGUAUCUUAUACCCAAAGCAUUUCUAGCAGACUGAGCUACGGAUUCCCAUUGGUAAAGCUCUUGUCUAGGGGAGUAGUAGU